UACAGAGGUCUCAAGCGUUGUUCGGAUUCAUUGGGCGUAAAGGGUGCGUAGGCGGCGCGGUAAGUCGGGUGUGAAAUCUCGGAGCUUAACUCCGAAACUGCAUUCGAUACUGCCGUGCUUGAGGACUGGAGAGGAGACUGGAAUUUACGGUGUAGCGGUGAAAUGCGUAGAUAUCGUAAGGAAGACCAGUGGCGAAGGCGGGUCUCUGGACAGUUCCUGACGCUGAGGCACGAAGGUCAGGGGAG
rnacentral:rRNA from 1 species